rnacentral:rRNA from 1 species
CUACGUGCCAGCAGCCGCGGUAAUACGGAAGGUCCAGGCGUUAUCCGGAUUUAUUGGGUUUAAAGGGAGCGUAGGCUGGAGAUUAAGUGUGUUGUGAAAUGUAGACGCUCAACGUCUGAAUUGCAGCGCAUACUGGUUUCCUUGAGUACGCACAACGUUGGCGGAAUUCGUCGUGUAGCGGUGAAAUGCUUAGAUAUGACGAAGAACUCCGAUUGCGAAGGCAGCUUACGGGAGCACAACUGACGCUGAAGCUCGAAGGUGCGGGUAUCAAACAGGAUUAGAUACCCUGGUAGUCCGCACAGUAAACGAUGGAUGCCCGUUGUUAGUUCACCUAAGAAUUAGCGACCAAGCGAAAGCAUUAAGCAUCCCACCUGGGGAGUACGCCGGCAACGGUGAAACUCAAAGGAAUUGACGGGGGCCCGCACAAGCGGAGGAACAUGUGGUUUAAUUCGAUGAUACGCGAGGAACCUUACCCGGGCUUGAAUUGCCG